rnacentral:lncRNA from 1 species
CUAAAUCAUUUUCAAGCAUAUGCGAUUCAUGUAUAUCGAUCUAGACAAUAAAAUAAAUUGGUACUUUAUUAAUCAUAAAUGAGGUUUAAUACAUAAGUUUAAGUUGCACGAUAGGCUAUCAUAAGUUCAUUCAUAAUCCGAUCUAUCCAUUCAACACACACUCUCCUGCUCAUUGAGUCUUCACAGUUCUUUGGUCUUACCACGAUCAACCUCAGAUCCUGAAACCACAUACCAUAACACAUCAAUCAUAA